AUUGAACGCUGGCGGCAGGCUUAACACAUGCAAGUCGAGCGGUAGCACAGGGGAGCUUGCUCCCUGGGUGACGAGCGGCGGACGGGUGAGUAAUGUCUGGGAAACUGCCUGAUGGAGGGGGAUAACUACUGGAAACGGUAGCUAAUACCGCAUAACGUCGCAAGACUAAAGAGGGGGACCUUCGGGCCUCUUGCCAUCAGAUGUGCCCAGAUGGGAUUAGCUAGUAGGUGGGGUAAUGGCUCACCUAGGCGACGAUCCCUAGCUGGUCUGAGAGGAUGACCAGCCACACUGGAACUGAGACACGGUCCAGACUCCUACGGGAGGCAGCAGUGGGGAAUAUUGCACAAUGGGCGCAAGCCUGAUGCAGCCAUGCCGCGUGUGUGAAGAAGGCCUUCGGGUUGUAAAGCACUUUCAGCGAGGAGGAAGGUGGUGAGCUUAAUACGUUCAUCAAUUGACGUUACUCGCAGAAGAAGCACCGGCUAACUCCGUG
rnacentral:rRNA from 1 species